CACGGGGGGGACAAGCGUUGUUCGGAUUUACUGGGCGUAAAGCGCUCGUAGGCGGUCUCGCAAGUCGAAUGUGAAAACCGAAGGCUCAACCAUCGGCCUGCAUUUGAAACUGUGAGUCUAGAGUACUGGAGAGGAUGGCGGAAUUCCUGGUGUAGCGGUGAAAUGCGUAGAUAUCAGGAGGAACACCGGCGGCGAAGGCGGCCAUCUGGACAGAUACUGACGCUGAGGAGCGAAGGCUAGGGUAGCAAACAGGAUUAGAUACCCCAGUA
rnacentral:rRNA from 1 species